UCAAACGAUGCGCCGUGGAGAGGAAGCGCUGGCGUGCGACGCGUCUUCAGGUCGCCGUUUGUGACACAAGCCGCGCCGAUGUGGAGCUAAUGGACAGAGGAGCGGGCAGAGGAGACAGGGGGGUCCGCGGGGGCAGGACAAAACCGGGGGGAGCUGAGGAGGCUCUGCGUCAGUGCCGGCUCAUCCAGAACCUGGUGGACAUCUCCACCUCCAGCCUCCAGGCUCUCAGGACCAGAUGCACCGCAACCAACGACCUCACCCAGCAGGAGAUCCGCACUUUAGAGGUGAAGCUGACCGAGUACAUGUGGACGCAGCUGCAGUGGAAGCAGAGGGUACCAGAGAGGGAGAGACCUGCAGCUCUGUCCGGAUACCCAAGACUGGAGAACUGGCUCCUCACAGCUGACCUCACACCACAGUUCAUACAGGCUGCAGCAGGGAAGCUCUCAGUGGACCGGUUGCUGCAGAUGUCCAGCUCUGAGCUGCAGGACACGAUGAGACGCCUGGGCUCCAACUCAGAGGACUGUUCCCGCCUCACCGCCGCCCUCUCCUGUCUGAAGAGCGCCGAUGAAACAGGAGGUGACCUGAGGACUGACUCCUGCAGAUCUGAGUCCCAACAGGACAGUGAUGCCCCCUCUCCCAUUAGCGCCCCCUCCAGUGCCGGUAGCCCCUCCACCCCUCUUCCACCCACCAGCAGCCGCAGCCCCUCCGUCUCCAUAUCAGUGGCGCCUUGCUCGGACGACCAGAGACCAGCUGACGGAACGACCGACAUCUUCGCCGUGGAGCCGAGCGCGCAGACCUCAAAGACUCGCACUGCCAAGCCCUCCCACACGCCGCCGCCGCCUUCCCGCAAGCUGCUGCAGCUCCUCCCCAACAUCGCACUGACGAGGAGCAAGAGUCAGGAGUCGCAGCUGGCCAACCGCAUCGAGGAGCCCGCCGCACACAGAGCCGGUAAGAAGAACAAAGUUCUGGCUGCAAUUCACAUCAACGGGAACGGUCCUGAGGACUCGGCGCUGCCGUCGCCGCUGCUGUCUGCACGAACGCCCGGCCCCGUCCCGGCCUCAGCCCCUUACAUGAUGCCCGGCACCCCCACCCUGCUGGACAAUGUGGCCAUGCACAGAAGUUCCCCUCAGACAAUGAGGAGAGACAUUGGCCUGGCUGUAACACACAGGUUUUCAACCAAGUCCUGGCUCUCGCAGACCUGCCAGGUCUGUCACAAGAGCAUGAUGUUUGGAGUAAAGUGCAAGCACUGCAAGUUAAAGUGCCACAACAAAUGUACUAAAGAUGCUCCCUCGUGUCGGAUAUCAUUUCUCACAUUGCCAAGGAUGCGCCGGGCGGAGUCGGUGCCAUCGGAUAUCAAUAACCGGAUCGAUCACACGGCGGAGAUCCCGCAGCAGUACGGCACUUUACCGAAGGCAAUCACCAAGAGGGAGCCUCCCAUCACUCUGAACCAGAUGGAUUCCAGCAGUAACCCGUCGUCAGCCACCUCCUCCACACCUUCCUCCCCAGCACAUUUCCAGCAGAGUAACCCCCCGAGCGUCAGCACCACCCCCCCACCCAACGCUUCACCGCGGGGUUCCCGUGACAACCGCUUCCACUUCCCAGAUGUUCCUGCCUCCACGUAUCCAGCUGUUCAACAGUCCGUCGGCUACUAUGAGUCCGGAGCGUCACAGGUGUCCGUCACCGACACACAGCUCCCAGCUGUUAAAGGAGGGGAGGAAGAGGAGGCGGAGGAAGACUACCCAGCGGAGGACGAGGAAGCAGCUGACAGGCGCAGCAGUAAAAAGAGCUUUCCCACAGAGGAGUGUGACGAGGACGGGCUCGAGGACCUGCCGUCUUCCAUAUGUCGCCGCGGGGCCGCCGGCCGCUGGAAGGGCCAGAUCUCUCGUAAAGCCAGCCAGACCAGCGUCUACCUGCAGGAGUGGGACAUCCCGUACGAGCAGCUGCAGCUGGGAGAGCUCAUCGGCAAGGGUCGCUGGGGGAAGGUGCACAAGGGCCGCUGGCACGGCGAGGUGGCCAUCCGCCUGAUGGAGGUCGAUGGCAACAACCAGGAUCACCUGAAGCUCUUCAAGAAGGAAGUGAUGAACUACAGGCAGACCAGGCACGAGAACGUCGUCCUGUUCAUGGGCGCCUGCAUGGCCCCGCCCCACCUCGCCAUCAUCACCAGCUUCUGUAAAGGUUUGACUCUGUACUCUGUUGUAAGAGAACGAGGUUCCAUGCUGGACAUCAAUAAAACCAGACAGAUUGCACAGGAGAUCGUAAAGGGCAUGGGUUAUCUUCACGCCAAAGGCAUCAUUCACAAGGACCUGAAGUCGAAGAACGUCUUCUACGACACCAACAAGGUUGUGAUCACGGACUUCGGCCUGUUUGGAAUGUCUGGAGUCGUACAGGAAGGAAGAAGAAAGAAUGUGUUGCGGAUACCGCAGGGCUGGAUCUACUACCUGGCUCCAGAGAUCGUUCGAAAGAUGAGCCCAGAGGUCGACGAGGACCAGCUGCCUUUCUCCAAAGCUGCUGACGUUUACGCGUUUGGCACAGUCUGGUAUGAGCUGCAGGUCGGAGACUGGCCGAUCACCAAGCAACCUGUGGAGGCUAAAAUCUGGCAAGUGGGCAGCGGCGAGGGCAUCAAGAAGGUGCUGGCAGAUUCCAACCUGGGCAAGGAGGUCACGGAGAUCCUGUCCGCCUGCUGGUCGGCGGAGCCGGACGACAGGCCGACGUUCACCCAGCUGACAGGCAUGCUGGAGAGGCUCCCCAAACUGAACCGCAGGCUGUCCCAUCCCGGACACUUCUGGAAGAGGAACGAGUACGUAUCAUAGAAAGAGUUUUCAUGAUCCAGGAUGAAGCAGCUCGCCGCAUCAUUCACUCCGACAAUAAAAAAAUAAGUCGUGGGAUCAUCAUCACUGUCUGAGAGAUCACUGCCACCAGGGCCUACGUGCACACUGCCCAUACAUGUACAAGUACAGCAGCUGAGAGCCUCUUUGAAACUGAAACCUCGUUUGGAUUUGACUCAAAAAAACGCAAAUGCUGACGAGGUCUUCUUCAGAGUUCUUGUCUCGAGCAGCACGUCCAGCCUGUAGAAGAUACGCUCUAUUUAUUUCAUCAAAACAAAAAACUUUUCUUGUGAAACAACAAGAGACUUUCGUGAUGUGACAAGAUGAAGCCAAAACUUAACUUGUAAAUAUUGAAUUAUUCGGCAUCAAAUCAUAAGAAGAAAAUGUCGUAUCACAUGAAAAUAUCUUGUAAAAACAAGAACACCACGCUGCUGCUGCUCCUCCCACUUUCUCACCACUGUCUGUCGAAGCUUCUCUGUGAAUAUAAAUCCCCACAGCUGGAAGGCUGCUGGCUGCAGAUGUUACUGCUAUGGUUAAUUACUGCAGAGGUAAAGAAACAUUUAUUUCAAGGUUGUCAGCACAAGAUUUACAUCUGGACAGUUGGUUCACCCAAUUUACAAAACUAGAUGAUAUUUUCAUUGAACUUGUUUUCCUCUCAUCUGUGAAAACAAACCUUGAGAGGCGAGUGGAAAAAAAAACUUUAAAAAGAAAUCACAAAAAAAACAAAAAAACCAACUUGCCUUUCAGGGCUUCUGUAGCGAUCUCUCCAUGCAAAUGAGUUUUUCUUGUUCCAGGUACAGAUACUGUGUCUGUCUGUAUGGAGGUGAGGGAAAUUAUUUUCACAGCACCACACUGACUAAUUUCCUCGUUAGAUUACAACACACCAGGACAGUUUUGAGUGGAACUAGAUCCUGUGAAAACGGUCGACAGGAAAGCUUUGCCACUUUGGUCCAUAUCAACAUCUCCACUACCGGAUGGAUUCCCAUGAAGUUUUGCUCAGGCAUUCAUGGUCCCCAGAGGAUUAAUUGCAGUUGUAAUUACAGUGUAAUCACUUUCUCCAAUUCUUUGGUUUAUGAGCAGAAAUGCUGACGUUCCCAUCAGCCUCAGCUGUACUUGUUUAGUGCUAAUCGUUAGCAUGCUAACACGCUUAAUUAAGACCACAGGUUCUUAUUUCAUAAACUGUAAUGUUCAGUUUGGCGUGAGCCCCUACAAAAUAAAACGCUGUUCACCUCCCAUUUUAUUGUGAUACAUCUCAGAGACAGAUAUCUCCGAACCUGGACCAACAAAAACCAGCAUCUACAUGGAGAGACACACCACAAGAGCUAAUGAGAAAAAGGUUCAUUAUUGUAAUUUGAGUGAACUGAUCUUCUGAAGUCUGUGCUCCCCCAGAAUAUGAAUAAUCAAUACUUUACUGUAUUUUCAUCGCCAUGGUGUUAGAUAAUCCAUUCGGACCUAUGAGGUGGCCUCUUAAUGGCGAGACACUGCCUUUCUCUGCGCUGUAAUAAUACUUGACGCGAUGCAGCGUGAAGCAUUCAAACUCAGGCAUUUAUGAACAGCUGCUUCUAAAUGUAUCUUGGGGCAGCUUUGGCUUUGUGUUGCUGUAACGAAUAGAUACAAUUUUCCAAUCCAUCGGACGCCAUUAAUGGAUCAAAUGGAAAAACCACUGAGUGACACCCCCCCCGCUGAGAUUUAAUCAGAGCGACACUUUGUCAGCGAACUGGAAGACAACACAGAAAAUAAUGUUUUCAUUCAAGUAUGAAAAGUGUGUGUCUUUUUUUCCUGUGUAGCCACUUCCUGUUCAUUUUGGUGAACAGGAAGUGGUACAAUGUGUGUGUGUGUUUGUGUGUGUGUGUGUGUGUGUGUGUGUGUGUGUGGAGCACAAUAUACACUGACUGACUGUUAAUGGGCUUCACAGGUGCAGCGGAGCCCCAUCGAACAUGAUCAAAUAAUAACCUAAUGCAUAUAUGUAUAUAAAGUGCUGGAGGUUGUAUUUAAUACACAGAGCUCAUGUUUGUACAAGUUUCCAUUUGGAUUGGUACUUCGUUCAUAUUUAUGUAUAGAUUUUUAGACACUGUGGAAACUGUUGUCGGUUGAUUGGUUUUUUUUUGUGGUUUUUUUUAGGGUGGGGGGGGUUGAUCUGUAGAGUAUUUUUGUACAGGAUUUGUUGAUACUUCUGGUCUGAACAACCGUAGACAUUAAAGCUGAUCUCCAAAGA